AACUGUAGAAAAAUGGAAUUGACUUUUACUCCUCCAGGUCCAGAAGGAUUCUAAUAACAAACCAUAAGCAAGAGUUGUUUCUGUUGUCUUGUCCACGAACAGAAGCUGAAAAAGCAUAUUGCUUGCAUUUCAGGUGGAUAAUUUAUGGUUUAUUCUUCAGCUUUAAAUUAGACUGAUUAUACUCUAAUUCACUUCAAGGCCUUAAAUUAUCUUCAAUGACUUCUCUUGUUCAUAUAAUACUUUAAUUUUUUUAUUGUGCCUUGUCAUUUUGACUAAGGCUAUGCAGGAUUGCACUAGCUCCAUAAUGCAGUAAUAUUGAUAACUGAAGAUAUUAAGUUUCAAAAGGAUCUUCCAUUAGUUUGAGAAAAGCAAAAUGAAUUUUAUAGGGUUUGUCCUAUGCUAUCUCAAAGUUUAAAACUAGGUUCUUCUUAAAAGCACUCGUAUUGGAAAUUACUGGUAAUGUCUCCAGUCUAAGUCCUAUACAUAUAGGAGAACCUGCUUACCUUCAAAGUAAGUUACGGCAAUACACUGCUUCAAUUCUAAUUUAUUUUUCAUUUCAGGGGGCAAAUAUGCAAUGAGUUGGCCCAAAUUUUUAGUAAAAUUUGGAUGUUUUUCUGUGUGUUGACUGUCCAGCAGACUAAGAGAAGCAUAACAAACCUUUGCUUGUGUUUCUUUGUGGGUUUGUUCAAGUUUACAAUGACUGAGAACUGAUUGAGGUUAAGAUUUCAAUAAAAAGAAAGCAUGUUUUGUGCUGAAUUAAUUUUUUUUAAUUUGUAGUGACCUACAUUUAUAUGAAGAAUUCUGUCCAUGUUGAAAGAAAGGAUGACCAAAUGUAAAUUUAAUGAGUGGGCCAAUUAAGAAAGAUAUAUAUGCACUUUUCAUGUGUAACUUUUGUAUGCUAAAUGGUACAUAUAUUUUUUGUUUGUUUUUGAGGGUAUUAAUAAGGUAUAAUUAAUUGUGUCUUAACUUUUGCAAGAAUUUUUUAAGACUGAGGGAGGCAACUGGGAUGUUUGUGAUAAUAGAUAAGAAAGGUAUUCUUGAUUAUAGUUAAAUUGGUUUGAAUUUCAGAUAUUUAUUAUUGAAUUUACUCUGUCUUAUCCCACUUUGGAGAAGGCAAUUCAACAAUAAAAUUCUGGACACUCUACUCUCCUUCUAAAAAUAGUGAACUGAUAUUUGCAGACUAAAGGAGAGAACCCUUAGAAAUGUGUUAGGCCACACUCUGAACCUUUUCCCCCCUAGCUUUCUCCUUUCUGUUUCAGUUACUGUACUAACAUUGUGGAUGAUACUGAAAUUCUGCAUAAUGUGAACAGGAUAAACUAUUUAUAAACUGCUUUUCAUGGGCCAGUUCUUUAUUAUAAAUGAAUUUAGCUUUAAACACAUACACAUGUUCAGUGUUUGAUAGCUCUGUUCACAGUGAAGGUCUGUCCUGGUGCAUUGUCCCGGAGAAGUAGGAGCAGUGGCAAGUCACUGCAUCUGAUUUCAUGGAAUAGUGACAAUAUGCUUCUUAGGCAAGAUUUAUACUUGACCACAAGGGGAAAAGUGUGUCACUGGAAAAAAAUGCAUAUACCUAUAUAUUCACAUACAUACUUUAUUCUCCAGAUUAAAAUUUGUAUAAUUUGUUUAUUUAGUUUUUGAAUUUAGAACAAAAGGAAAAAAAAGGAGCCUGAGGUUUUAAAAUAGAUUUUAUUUUUGUUAUCUCUUUGUUACAUAUUCACUGAAGCAGUCAGAAUAUAUCAAGAGUGAUUCAUAUUUACAUUGAACAAUCACUAUCAGAUAAGCAUUUGUUAACCACAGCAAACUAGUUUGAAAAGAUCAUAUUUUCAGGUAUCUUCAUUUCUUUCUAUGUAGUUUAAUUGGAAUCUUGUUAAAUUUGAAAUUGGAAGAAUCCCUUGAGAUAGAAGGAUUCUUACAUGUGAUUGAACUUCAUCCUGUGUAAGAAUACUAUAGGAAACAGAAACUCACUUCCUUAA
rnacentral:lncRNA from 1 species